rnacentral:lncRNA from 1 species
AAGCAAAUCAUCCUACCCAAAGGGGAGGAAAGUCUCUUUGAAAGCAUUUCUCCUAGCCUGCUCAGAGAAGAUGCUCAUUUUCAGAAUUUUUAAGAAACAGGAAAAAAUAUAGACAAGAUUAUACAGAGAGGGGAAGAAUGAGAAGAGAAGAGAAGGAUAAUAAGAAUUCUGAGGAACAUCAACAUUUAAAACGGAAAUGAAGAAAAGCCUGCGAAGAAGACUGCAAAGAUGAGGAAACUGGAGCAAGGAGAGGAUUUUGCUCCAAAGUCUAAUGGCUAACUGAGCUGAGGUUUGAAUCCAGGCAAUAGUCACCAGAGCUGCACUCACAAACUCAAAACUGUAGUGUGAGGAAGGUGGAUCACAUGCUUUGGAAGUAUUUCAGGCUGGGAAGUCUUCCAGUUUCUGGAAGAAAGAUAUGAUAAAGCCCAUAACAGAGGAUAUGGGAGCCAGCCAAGGAAGUGAACCCAUACACAUGUUCCCAGCUUCUACAGAGGGCCAAAUUCUGAUAGGAAAUUCUUUACGUGUGUGUGUGUGUGUGUGUGUGUGUGUGUGUGUAAUUUUAAGUUCUGGGAUACAUGUGCAGUAUGUGCAGUUUUGUUACAUAGGUAUACAUGUGCCAUGGUGGUUUGCUGCACCACUGAUAGGAAAUUAGGUAGCCACACACACAAGUAUAGACAUGGCUACUGAGUAAGACUUAUGAAAAUCUAGCUCUUAGCACAACUGUAAGCACAGAAUGAAUUUAGCAAACUUUUCCACAUCUCUGCAGACAAAGCCCUGGUUUUUAGUACAGACAUCCUGAAAGGUUACUUAUCCUGAUGUCAGGUGUAGCCUUGAGAAGUCCAGUGAUUCAAUGUUCAGGAAGAAAAUGUGUGAAAUGUAUCUCAACAAAUUGAGCCUGCUGUUUAGGAGGCUUUGCAUCCAUUUUUAAGGAAAAUUAUUCAUAACUACUCAAACCCAAGCAUGCAAGUCUGUAGCUAAAGAAUUCCAAGGGCAAAGGGUUUUCCAGGUGAAGCCAAAUGUAACCUUUAGAUAAUUGAGAGUAGCAAUAUCACAGAAAAAGAACUUCAAGCUUUGUUGCUAUUGUUUAGUGUCAGCAUGAGAGUUUUCAUCCUGAAUUGCUCUUAAAUCCUGAUUCAUUUGAAAAUUAAUCCAAAUGUCUUCCCACCAACUCUUCUCCCUUCUGGUAAAUUUUAUUAAGCAAUAAAUUCACAUCAAACAUUAUUUAUUGGGAAACAUCAGAUGAAACCAUUCAAAUUUUACUAUACAGUAGAUAUACCAAAGAAGUCAGCAUUCCCCCUUCAUAUUUUUUCAUGAGGAGGGCCACUGAGAUCUUUUCUCCUCAAGACAUGACUCCUCAGGAAGGGGUCUUGGCACCAAUAUGCAGGAGGAUGCUUGCAGAGCUGGGACUUUGGCAUUUUAAAAGCCACGUGGCUCUAGGCAUGCUCCAAGUGUUCCUAGCUCAAGUCUUAUAGUUAAGUCCAGAUUUCACAGCCGAAGGCACUGAGCUGCAAGCUUCCUCGCCAAAGGCCCAAAGCAGUAAGCAGAAGGUGCUUCCUGGCCCUGACUCAACUGGUGCAGAAGGACACCCUAUUGAUGGUGAUGCAGGAGCAGCUCUGAGCCUUCUCUGAGUGAUCCGGAAAGCAUUAUCCUACCCAAAGGGGAGGAAAGUCUCUUUGAAAGCAUUUCUGCUCAGAGAUGAAGACAAAAACCAUAAUGGGAAGGACCAAUAUCCCAAACAUCACUGACAUUACCUGGGUGUUCUGCUUGCAAAAACAUUUUGCUAAUAAAAAGAAAACGUGAUCCCAUCACUAACUGUCCCUAAAGCAAGUCAUCUGCCUUUUCAUGGUCUCAAGGGGCUCAUCUGUAAAAUGAAGAGUUGAACUAAAUGAUGGUUGAGGUUCCAUACUGUCUAGUAAUAAAAACUGUCAAAAGUGGUCACAUACUGUCAAUUUCAUAUGGCUUGAUGCACACACAUGCACACUCACUGUGUGUACACCCUCACAAACAUUUAUUCAUUCGAUAAGUAUUGCCUACUAUAAGCCAAGCAUUCUUCUAGGCACUGAAGAUAUAGCAGCAAACAAAGCAGAGCCCUGCUCACUUGGAGCUUACGUUCUAGGAUUGGUAAAAGCAAAAAUAUAGCAAAUUAACUAGUAUAUCCAAGGGGGUGGAAUGAGAAAGGGAGAGAGUAAGAGAGAGAGACACCAAGUGGGGAGAGUAGAAGGAGAUAGAAAGAUCACCAGGGCCUGGCAAAGCCUUGCUUUUCCUCUGAGUGAGAUGGGAAGGCAUUGGAGGGUUCUGAGCAACGUAAUAGGACACACAUGCUUACAAGAUGAUUCUCACUGCUCUGUGGCAGACAGACUUGUAGGGACAAGAGUAGAAACAGGGAGACCAGUCGGGAGACCGUUGCAAUCAUCCAGAUGAGGGAUGACGGUGGCUUGGACCUGGUGGCAACGGUGGAGCUGAAAGUCUUGGCUGUUCUGUAUUCUGAAGGCAAAGUCAAUAGGAUUUGCUACUGGACAGCAUGUGGAGUGUGAGUGAAAGAUGACGCCAAGAUUUUUCACUGGAAUAAGUGGAAUAAUGAAGUUCCCAUUUACUGAUCUGGUAAAGACUACGGAAGGAACAUAUUUAGAGCUGGGGGAAGAUAGGAAUCUG